GUGCGAAAACCAAGAAUAAUGCUUAUUUGGGCCCCUUUUUGGCCCCUUAUUCCUCAACUGUUGGGACCAAAACUCCCAAAAUCAAUCCCAACCUUCCUUUUGUGGUCAUAAACCUUGUGUUAAAAUUUCAUAGAUUUCUAUUCACUUUUUCUAAAGUUAGAGUGCGAAAACUAAAAGUAUUCGGACGACGACGACGACAACGACGACGACGCAGACGACGACGCCAACAUGAUACCAAUAUACGACCAAAAAAUUUUCAAUUUUUGAGGUCGUAUAAAAAUG
rnacentral:lncRNA from 1 species